CAAGUCGAGCGUCAAAUUUAUUUGAGCGGCGGACGGCUGAGUAACACGUAGAAAUCUGCCCCUAUCCGGAGGAUAGCUCGCCGAAAGGUGAGGUAAUACUCCAUAGUCUAAGCCUAGCUUAGUAAAGAUUUAUCGGGAAGGGAUGAGUCUGCGGCCUAUCAGGUAGUUGGUGGGGUAACGGCCUACCAAGCCAAUGACGGGUAGCUAAUCUGGGAGGAUGGUUAGCCAGAGGGGGACUGAGACACGGCCCCCACUCCUACGGGAGGCAGCAAUCAGGAAUAGUCGGCAAUGGGCGCAAGCCUGACCGCGCGACACCGCGUGUAGGAUGAAGUUCGAAAGAGCGUAAACUACUGUGGUAGGGGAAGAAAACAAUGACGGUACCCUACUAGAAAGGAGCCGCUAACUGCGUGCCAGAAGCGUCGGUAACACGUGGGCUCCAAGCAUUAUCCGGUAUUAUUGGGCGUAAAGGGUCGCGUAGGUGGCUUGAUAAGUUAUCUUCUAAAUCUCCAUGCUCAACAUGGAUUAAGGAGAUAAUACUAUUAAGCUAGAAUUUUCUUUAGGGCGAUUGGAACUGAGAGAGGAGUAGUGAAAUGCGUUGAUACUCUCGGGAACACUAGUGGCGAAGGCGAAUCGCUGGAAGAAGAUUGACACUGAGGCACGAAAGCUAGGGGAGCGAAGCAGAUUAGAGACCUGCGUAGUCCUAGCCCUAAACUAAUGCUUGCUAGCUGCAUCUUUUUCAAUUAAUUUUGAAUUAGGUGUGGCGAAGAUAACUCGUUAACCAAGCCGCCUGGGGAGUACGGUCGCAAGGCUAAAACUCAAAGGAAUUGGCGGGGAGGCACACAACCAGUGGAACUGUGGUUCAAUUUGAUACGAACCAAGAACCUCACCAGGAUUGACAUGCUAGAGUUCAUGCCUAA
rnacentral:rRNA from 1 species